GUUUCAGACUAUUAAAGGACAAAACAGGACAGCAAAAUGUGUCGUCUGCAGCUAGCAUUUAUUGUUGCCGUUGUUGUACAGCUUACAUGGUACCGUGUGGAAGCAGUUGCGCUUGACGCCACCUGUACCGUGACAGCGGACUGUACAGCAACUAACAGUGAAUGUACUGGCACACCUCUUGUUUGCACCUGUGUCGCAGGUUAUACGGCAGAUUAUAGCGGCG